rnacentral:rRNA from 1 species
UAGUCCACGCCGUAAACGAUGGGUGCUAGGUGUUGGGGUCUUUGAACUCCAGUGCCGUAGCUAACGCGUUAAGCACCCCGCCUGGGGAGUACGGUCGCAAGAUUAAAACUCAAAGGAAUUGACGGGGGCCCGCACAAGCGGUGGAGCAUGUGGUUUAAUUCGACGCAACGCGCAGAACCUUACCAGCCCUUGACAUACCAAUCGCGGUUAGCAGAGAUGCUUUCCUUCAGUUCGGCUGGAUUGGAUACAGGUGCUGCAUGGCCGUCGUCAGCUCGUGUCGUGAGAUGUUGGGUUAAGUCCCGCAACGAGCGCAACCCUCGCCUUUAGUUGCCAUCAAUUCGGUUGGCACUCUAAAGGAACUGCCGGUGAUAAGCCGGAGGAAGGUGGGAUGACGUCAAGUCCUCAUGGGCCCUUAUGGGGCUGGGGCUACACACGUGCUACAAUGGGCAGAUACAAUGAGUUGCUACCCUGCGAGGGGGAAGC